rnacentral:lncRNA from 1 species
GUUUGGACCCAAAUUUACACCAUCGGCCCGUGUAAUCAAGGCCGUUGAAUGAGCAAAGUUUCACACCGUCAGAUGAAAAGUAGAGAUAAUUCAUUUUAUUAUUAUUAAAGGAUAAUGUUAUGGUGUUUUAUCAUAAUUAUCUUUUAAUAGUAAUUUAUUAUGAAAGAUAAGAGAUAUAUUUCCAACUGGAAACAUGGCAGCACAAGUCAAUCUGACUUGGGUGUUCUGGCGCGCGAAUGUGUGGUGUGUGGUGCAAAUUGAUUAUUGUUUAUUUAAAAUAUGGUGGGGAUCAGGUUGCAUAGAUUAUGAAGAAGCCUAAAUAGGAUAGGAUUAGAUUGGAUUUU